GAUGAACGCUGGCGGCGUGCCUAAUACAUGCAAGUCGAGCGACGCGGGGACGGGUGAGUAACCCGUGGAUAAACUCCUAUAAGAACGGGAUAAUUACGGGAAACAGGAGCUAAACAGGAUACUUAUAGAUUGAUCCGCGCUGCAUUAGCUAGUUGGUAAGGUAACGGCUGACAAAGGAAACGAUGCACAGCCGACCUGAGAGGUGGAUCGGCCAAACUGGGACUUAGACACGUUCCAGACUCCUACGGGAGGCAGCAGUAGGGAAUCUUCCGCAAUGGGCGAAAGUCUGACGGAGCAACGCCGCGUGAGUGAUUAAGUUAUUCGGAUCGUAAAACUCUGUUAUUAGGGAAGCGGUAACUAAUCAGAAAGUCACGGCUAACUACGUGCCAGCAGCCGCGGUAAUAC
rnacentral:rRNA from 1 species